rnacentral:tRNA from 1 species
GGGAGUGGAUGGGUCCUGGUGGGCCCCGAGGACUUCAAAUCCUUCUGCCGGGUGCUAAUCCCAUCCGGGGUGGGUUCGAUUCCCACGCAUUCCCGCCA